AGAGUUUGAUCCUGGCUCAGAUUGAACGCUGGCGGCAUGCCUAACACAUGCAAGUCGAACGGAAACGAUGGAAGCUUGCUUCCAGGCGUCGAGUGGCGGACGGGUGAGUAAUACUUAGGAAUCUGCCCAGUAGUGGGGGACAACUCGAGGAAACUCGAGCUAAUACCGCAUACGCCCUACGGGGGAAAGCGGAGGACUCUUCGGAGCUUCGCGCUAUUGGAUGAGCCUAAGUCGGAUUAGCUUGUUGGUGAGGUAAAAGCUCACCAAGGCGACGAUCCGUAGCUGGUCUGAGAGGACGAUCAGCCACACUGGGACUGAGACACGGCCCAGACUCCUACGGGAGGCAGCAGUGGGGAAUAUUGGACAAUGGGGGCAACCCUGAUCCAGCAAUGCCGCGUGUGUGAAGAAGGCCUGCGGGUUGUAAAGCACUUUCAGUAGAGAAGAAAAGCCUACGGUUAAUACCCGUGGGUCUUGACGUAACCUACAGAAGAAGCUCCGGCUAACUCCGUGCCAGCAGCCGCGGUAAUACGGAGGGAGCGAGCGUUAAUCGGAAUUACUGGGCGUAAAGCGCGCGUAGGCGGCUUCGUAAGUCGGAUGUGAAAGCCCCGGGCUCAACCCGGGAAUUGCAUUCGAUACUGCAGAACUAGAGUAUGGUAGAGGGAAGUGGAAUUUCCGGUGUAGCGGUGAAAUGCGUAGAUA
rnacentral:rRNA from 1 species